AUGGUGGUAUCAAUAGGUAGAAGAAGAAAUAUAUGCUAUAGACGAAGUAUUGAUUGGAAAGUUCAGAGGGUUUACCGAUCGGAGUCCGUCCGAUGCGGCUUUAAUGGCGGCGAUGAUGAGAUAAAACCAGCGGGAGCUUCCGAAUUCCAGUUACGCAGUGAUGAAGGGUUUGGAGAUGGUUUGAAGCUGUUCGUGCUUGAAGGUGAUGGAGUUUUGUUGAAGGUGAAUGAGGAUGUGAAGUGGCUGCAAUUGUUGGUGAAGAAAGAUGAUUGA